AACGCUAGCUACAGGCUUAACACAUGCAAGUCGAGGGGUAGCAGGAUAGCAAUACCGCUGACGACCGGCGCACGGGUGAGUAACACGUAUCCAACCUUCCCAUAACUCGGGGAUAGCCUUUCGAAAGAAAGAUUAAUACCCGAUAGUACUUUUUCAAGGCAUCUUGAGAAAGUUAAAGAUUUAUUGGUUAUGGAUGGGGAUGCGUUCCAUUAGAUAGUUGGUGAGGUAACGGCUCACCAAGUCUUCGAUGGAUAGGGGUUCUGAGAGGAAGGUCCCCCACAUUGGUACUGAGACACGGACCAAACUCCUACGGGAGGCAGCAGUGAGGAAUAUUGGUCAAUGGGCGAGAGCCUGAACCAGCCAAGUAGCGUGAAGGAUGAAGGUCCUAUGGAUUGUAAACUUCUUUUAUAGUAGAAUAAAGUGAUCCACGUGUGGAUUUUUGUAUGUAUACUAUGAAUAAGGAUCGGCUAACUCCGUGCCAGCAGCCGCGGUAAUACGGAGGAUCCGAGCGUUAUCCGGAUUUAUUGGGUUUAAAGGGUGCGUAGGCGGAAUAAUAAGUCAGUUGUGAAAGUUUGCGGCUCAACCGUAAAAUUGCAGUUGAUACUGUUAUUCUUGAGUGUACAUAAGGUAGGCGGAAUUCGUGGUGUAGCGGUGAAAUGCUUAGAUAUCACGAAGAACUCCGAUUG
rnacentral:rRNA from 1 species